rnacentral:rRNA from 1 species
UACAGAGGAUGCAAGCGUUAUCCGGAAUGAUUGGGCGUAAAGCGUCUGUAGGUGGCCUUUUAAGUCCGCCGUCAAAUCCCAGGGCUCAACUCUGGACAGGCGGUGGAAACUACCAAGCUUGAGUACGGUAGGGGCAGAGGGAAUUUCCGGUGGAGCGGUGAAAUGCGCAGAUAUCAGGAGGAACACCAGCGGCGAAGGCGCCGCUCUGGGCCGUAACUGACGCUGAGGAGCGGAAGCAUGGGUAGCAAACAGG